GGACCCGCACAAGUAGUGGAGCAUGUGGUUUAAUUCGAAGAUACGCGCAGAACCUUACCAACACUUGACAUGUUCGUCGCGACUCUAAGAGAUUAGAGUUUUCGGUUCGGCCGGACGAAACACAGGUGCUGCAUGGCUGUCGUCAGCUCGUGUCGUGAGAUGUUGGGUUAAGUCCCGCAACGAGCGCAACCCUCACUUUUAGUUGCCAUCAUUAAGUUGGGCACUCUGAAAGAACUGCCAGUGAUAAGCUGGAGGAAGGUGGGGAUGACGUCAAGUCCUCAUGGCCCUUACGUGUUGGGCUACACACGUGCUACAAUGGUAUCUACAACAGGAAGCAAGACGGCGACGUUAAGCAAAUCCUUAAAAGUGCGUCGUAGUCCGGAUUGGAGUCUGCAACUCGACUCCAUGAAGUCGGAAUCGCUAGUAAUCG
rnacentral:rRNA from 1 species